CCUACGGGAGGCAGCAGUGGGGGAUAUUGCACAAUGGGGGAAACCCUGAUGCAGCGACGCCGCGUGUGGGAAGACGGUCCUCUGGAUUGUAAACCACUGUCCCCAGGGACGAAGAUGACGGUACCUGGGGAGGCAGCUCCGGCUAACAACGUGCCAGCAGCCGCGGGACUACGUAGGGAGCGAGCGUUGUCCGGAAUUACUGGGUGUAAAGGGAGCGUAGGCGGGACUGCAAGUUGGGUGUCAAAUCUACCGGCUCAACCGGUAGCCGCACUCGAAACUGCAGUUCUUGAGUGAAGUAGAGGCAGGCGGAAUUCCUAGUGUAGCGGUGAAAUGCGUAGAUAUUAGGAGGAACACCAGUUGCGAAGGCGGCCUGCUGGGCUUUUACUGACGCUGAGGCUCGAAAGUGUGGGUAGCAAACAGGAUUAGAUACCCGGGUAGUC
rnacentral:rRNA from 1 species